rnacentral:lncRNA from 1 species
UCCCCUCAAACCCUGUCAUUCCCGGGAAGCUCCCAGAGGCAGCUGAGGCCACGCCCCUGCUCCUGAGCGGCAGCAUCCAGACCCGGAAAGGACCUAGUUUCAGCCUGGCACCUCCCAAGAGGAGGACUCCCAGGCUCAGAGAUGUUAAGGAACUUCCUUGGGGGUCACACAGUGAGUCAGCAGCCCAGCCACGAUUCAAGUCCAGGUCAACCUGACCCCAAAGUCUGUGUUGAGACAUUAUGCCACGGUCCCUCCAGCACUACUCUCAUUCCACCAAUGCUUACUGAGCCUGACUCCUUGUAAGUGACCAAGGAUACAGCGAUGAGAAAUGCACAGCCCGGCCCUGCAGAGGCUCAGAGUGCGGCGAGGACAAGACGUGAGAACCACGGCGUGUGCUGUGCCUGAGGGAGCUGUGGGGACACUGAGAAGGAGCCCCUCACCCAGAUGGGGGCUGUUCCUAUUUUAUUCCUGCCCACAAGCCACCAGGUGACCCCUGAAAAGCUUUGAGACCAUAGGACCCUGCCUGGAGUGACUUCUGUGUGUCCUCCUGGGGAAAAGGACCAGUCUCUCUCCUAUGAGGGUGGGAGCCUCCACUUUGGUGUGUGACCCCUGAGGGAGAAGUGAACGUGAAGACAUGAAGGAGGCACUGCCUGCAGCCUGAAUUUCUCGGGUGGCCUCAGGCUUAUCCCAGCAAAGAACCCCAUAAACAGGGCAGGGAUGUCGGGCUCCAGAAAUGGGCCUGCCCUGUU